rnacentral:rRNA from 1 species
AAGCGGAGGAAAAGAAACUAACAAGGAUUCCCCUAGUAACUGCGAGUGAAGCGGGAAGAGCUCAAAUUUAAAAUCUGGCGGUCUUUGGCCGUCCGAGUUGUAAUCUAGAGAAGUGUUUUCUGCGUCGGACCGUGUACAAGUUUCUUGGAACAGAACAUCAUAGAGGGUGAGAAUCCCGUCUUUGACACGGACUGCCGGUGCUUUGUGAUGCACUCUCAAAGAGUCGCGUUGUUUGGGAAUGCAGCGCAAAACGGGUGGUGAAUUCCAUCUAAAGCUAAAUAUUGGCGAGAGACCGAUAGCGAACAAGUACCGUGAGGGAAAGAUGAAAAGCACUUUGGAAAGAGAGUUAAACAGUACGUGAAAUUGUUGAAAGGGAAACGCUUGAAGUCAGUCGCGUCUUGCGGAACUCAGCCUUGCUUCUGCUUGGUGUAUUUUCUGCUUGACGGGCCAGCAUCGAUUUUGACCGUCGGAUAAAGUGCAGGGGAAUGUGGCAUCCUCGGAUGUGUUAUAGCCUCCGCUCGCAUACGACGGUCGGGAUCGAGGACCGCAGCACGCCUUUAUGGCCGGGGUUCGCCCACGUACGUGCUUAGGAUGCCGGCGUAAUGGCUUUAAACGACCCGUCUUGAAACACGGACCAAGGAGUCUAACAUGCCUGCGAGUGUUUGGGUGGAAAACCCAUGCGCGUAAUGAAAGUGAAAGUUGAGACCUCUGUCGUGGAGGGCAUCGACGCCCGGUCUUGAGCUUCGGCGACGGAUCCGCGGUUGAGCAUGUAUGUUGGGACCCGAAAGAUGGUGAACUAUGCCUGAAUAGGGUGAAGCCAGAGGAAACUCUGGUGGAGGCUCGUAGCGAUUCUGACGUGCAAAUCGAUCGUCAAAUUUGGGUAUAGGGGCGAAAGACUAAUCGAACCAUCUAGU